rnacentral:rRNA from 1 species
CUGUACAGUUCAGAGUUUGAUCCUGGCUCAGGACGAACGCUGGCGGCGUGCCUAACACAUGCAAGUCGAACGGGGUGGAUUCCUUCGGGAGAUCACUUAGUGGCGAACGGGUGAGUAACGCGUGAGAAACCUGCCUCUCAGUGGGGGACAACAGUUGGAAACGACUGCUAAUACCGCAUAACACUUUAGUACCGCAUGGUACAGAAGUCAAAGCUUUAUGUGCUGAGAGAUGGUCUCGCGUCUGAUUAGCUAGAUGGCGGGGUAAAGGCCCACCAUGGCGACGAUCAGUAGCCGGUCUGAGAGGAUGAACGGCCACAUUGGGACUGAGAUACGGCCCAG